rnacentral:rRNA from 1 species
CAUUACCGAGUUAUACAACUCAUCAACCCUGUGAACAUACCUAAAACGUUGCUUCGGCGGGAACAGACGGCCCUGUAACAACGGGCCGCCCCCGCCAGAGGACCCCUAACUCUGUUUUUAUAAUGUUUUUCUGAGUAAACAAGCAAAUAAAUUAAAACUUUCAACAACGGAUCUCUUGGCUCUGGCAUCGAUGAAGAACGCAGCGAAAUGCGAUAAGUAAUGUGAAUUGCAGAAUUCAGUGAAUCAUCGAAUCUUUGAACGCACAUUGCGCCCGCCAGUAUUCUGGCGGGCAUGCCUGUUCGAGCGUCAUUACAACCCUCAGGCCCCCGGGCCUGGCGUUGGGGAUCGGCGGAAGCCCCCUGUGGGCACACGCCGUCCCUCAAAUACAGUGGCGGUCCCGCCGCAGCUUCCAUUGCGUAGUAGCUAACACCUCGCAACUGGAGAGCGGCGCGGCCAUGCCGUAAAACACCCAACUUCUGAAUGUUGACCUCGAAUCAGGUAGGAAUACCCGCUGAACUUAAGCAUAUC